rnacentral:rRNA from 1 species
GCAGUCGAGCGGACCAACGAGGAGCUUGCUCCUCAGAGGUCAGCGGCGGACGGGUGAGUAACACGUGGGCAACCUGCCUGUAAGACUGGGAUAACUCCGGGAAACCGGGGCUAAUACCGGAUAACAUUCUCCUCUGCAUAGAGGGGAAUUAAAAGAUGGCUCCGGCUAUCACUUACAGAUGGGCCCGCGGCGCAUUAGCUAGUUGGUGAGGUAAGGGCUCACCAAGGCGACGAUGCGUAGCCGACCUGAGAGGGUGAUCGGCCACACUGGGACUGAGACACGGCCCAGACUCCUACGGGAGGCAGCAGUAGGGAAUCUUCGGCAAUGGACGAAAGUCUGACCGAGCAACGCCGCGUGAGUGAGGAAGGCCUUCGGGUCGUAAAGCUCUGUUGUUAGGGAAGAACAAGUACCGUUCGAACAGGGCGGUACCUUGACGGUACCUAACCAGAAAGCCACGGCUAACUACGUGCCAGCAGCCGCGGUAAUACGUAGGUGGCAAGCGUUGUCCGGAAUUAUUGGGCGUAAAGCGCGCGCAGGCGGUCUCUUAAGUCUGAUG